rnacentral:rRNA from 1 species
CUACGGGCGGCUGCAGUGGGGAAUAUUGGACAAUGGGGGAAACCCUGAUCCAGCAAUGCCGCGUGUGUGAAGAAGGCCUGCGGGUUGUAAAGCACUUUCGGUUGGGAGGACUGCUUCUAGCACUAAUAUUGUUGGAAGUUGACGUUACCUUCAGAAGAAGCACCGGCUAACUCCGUGCCAGCAGCCGCGGUAAUACGGGGGGUGGAAGCGUUAAUCGGAAUUACUGGGCGUAAAGCGCGCGUAGGCGGCUAGAUCAGUCGGGUGUGAAAGCCCCGGGCUUAACCUGGGAACUGCAUCCGAUACUGUCUAGCUUGAGUACAGGAGAGGAGGGUGGAAUUCCACAUGUAGCGGUGAAAUGCGUAGAUAUGUGGAGGAACACCAAUGGCGAAGGCAGCUCUCUGGCCUGAUACUGACGCUGAGGUGCGAAAGCGUGGGGAGCAAACAGGAUUAGAUACCCCGGUAGUC